GUCGCUACUACCGAUUGAAUGUCUUAGUGAAUCAUACGGAUCACUGCUUUUCGUUGGCAACUUCGAAGAGUGCGUGAGAAGUAUGGUAAACUUGAACAUUUAGAGGAAGUAA
rnacentral:rRNA from 1 species